AGUGAACGCUGGCGGUAGGCCUAACACAUGCAAGUCGAACGGCAGCACAGUAAGAGCUUGCUCUUACGGGUGGCGAGUGGCGGACGGGUGGGGAAUACAUCGGAAUCUACUUUUUCGUGGGGGAUAACGUAGGGAAACUUACGCUAAUACCGCAUACGACCUACGGGUGAAAGCAGGGGAUCUUCGGACCUUGCGCGAUUGAAUGAGCCGAUGUCGGAUUAGCUAGUUGGCGGGGUAAAGGCCCACCAAGGCGACGAUCCGUAGCUGGUCUGAGAGGAUGAUCAGCCACACCGGAACUGAGACACGGUCCAGACUCCUACGGGAGGCAGCAGUGGGGAAUAUUGGACAAUGGGCGCAAGCCUGAUCCAGCCAUACCGCGUGGGUGAAGAAGGCCUUCGGGUUGUAAAGCCCUUUUGUUGGGAAAGAAAAGCAGCAGGUUAAUACCCCGCUGUUCUGACGGUACCCAAAGAAUAAGCACCGGCUAACUUCGUG
rnacentral:rRNA from 1 species